UCAUCUGAAUCUUCAGUGCAUAUUUCAAAUUCAGAACAUCAGUCUGUGGAUCAGCCUCCACCCAAACAAUGAAGCUCAAACCUGCAUAUUUUGUCUUCUUCCUCUCCCUUGGCCUCUACAGCCAGUCAGCAAAUCCUGAAGAGCCAGCAAAUCCAGAAGAGCCAGCUUCCUCCAGCACCACCCUGACUUCUUCACAGUCACUACCAGAUUCUGCUGUGAGGAAAGUCAGAGUAACCAAUUCUCACCAAAAUGAAGUGUUGAAAACAAAUGAAAAGCUCACAUUUGGAAAUCACAUGGAAAACUAAUUGUGGAUUCAUCUCAACUCUCAGGUGUUUAGAACUGCGGCCACCAUAAAGAGGACCCCCUUAUGUGGAAGGCGUGCCAGGGGGUGGUAUGGCCUCGGUGGGGUGUGCAGAAGAACUAACAAUGCUGGUAACUGAACUAGACGGUGGUGGUCAAAAGCCCAAAGGAAGAGUUAUGGUGGAGAAGGUGGUGCAGUAAUUUUUACUGCUUCUGAACUGGAUGAUUACAGCUGUUUUACAAUUGAAUGAUUUCUAUUUUUCUGCUUUUAGUGAUGGAAAAUUCUAGUAAUAAAACCUGCCCACCUCUUAAGUUUUACUUUGUGGUCCACCCUUUCAAGGCAGAUUCAGUUCAUCAAGAAUGGCUUCCAGCUGCAUUAGAAGGGUGUGUUCAGUAUCCUGUUCAGUGUGAGUUUCCAUCUCUAAGCAAUUUGGUCAUCUCUUUCUGGCAGCUCUGAUCUCAUAGGCUGUGUUGUCAAGACUCAGGCCGGCCACACAGAUCUUCCUCUGAAUAACUUUGCCAUGUCCUGUAGAUGCCAGCUGCUUGCACUGUAAUUUAGUUUCCCCAGUUCAUAUUUAGGAAGACUAAAAACUCUCUAAAGAGAACACCCUGUCUUAGGCAUUUCUAGCACAUAUUUGGUGAGAAAGCUAUUGUAUGGGUUCGCUGGAAACCCACAAAUGGCCCAGACUUGAUGUCACACAUACCCCAGCCUUUCCCCAACACCUCUUUAUGACACUACCAUCUGCACCCUGGAAUGAAAAACUGUUUUUAUUGUUUCUAGAAAGAACAUUUUCCACAAUUUUUGUGGGUGGCCUUUCCAUACAGCACACCUAACAUGACUGAAACACCAGAGCGCGGCUCCUUGGGAACAAGCAGCCCCUGGAAGAUUCUUGUAUUUAUUAGGAUGAGGAGAAAAGGUAGGCUGCUGGUGUAUCUUUUAUAUCCAAUAAAAUAAUCAUAAAUGUAAGCUAAGCAAAAAAUCAGUUGCCCAAAUGUUGCCCCAAACACCGGCUAAGGCAAUGUGAAUGGAAGAGGGAGGCAUUAAAGAGAGAGAGCUUGGUGGGUAGGAGAUUGAUGGGAGAAAAAAAGCAAUGAGAGAACACAUCUAGGUAGCCAAUCAUGGCAGAACACAACUGGGUGGCCAUUGUGGCUGCUCAGUCCUGAAACAGAUUGUCCUGUUCCUCAGUGCUAGGGGACAGUCGUCUCCAAAAUGGGAUAUGCCCCAGGAGACAACCCACUAUGGUGUGGGAAGAAAAUAUUUGUAGCACUCAUGUUUGCAUCUCUAAUCCCUUCUU